rnacentral:rRNA from 1 species
AGGACAAACGCUGGCGGCGUACCUAAGACAUGCAAGUCGAACGGUUCUUUUCGCUUCGGCGGGAGGGAUAGUGGCGGAUGGGUGAGUAACGCGUAGGAACCUAUCGCACAGUGGGGGAUACCGCUGGGAAACCGGCGCUAAUACCGCAUGAGGUUCGCCGAGCGAAUCGGUGAACGAAAGCACGAGAGUGCGCUGAGUGAGGGGCCUGCGUCCGAUUAGCUGGUUGGUGGGGUAACGGCCUACCAAGGCGACGAUCGGUAGCUGGUCUGAGAGGACGGUCAGCCACACUGGGACUGAGACACGGCCCAGACUCCUACGGGAGGCAGCAGUUAGGAAAUUUUUUGCAAUGGGGGAAACCCUGACAGAGUAACGCCGCGUGGAGGAUGACGGCCUUCGGUUGUAACUCCUUUUCUGUGGAGAGUAGAAGACGGUACCGCAGGAAGAAGCCUCGGCUAACUACGUGCCAGCAGCCGC